UGCGCAGGCGCGGGGCUGCCGCCGCUGUAGGCGGCGCGAGCAGCCUGGCUUGCCGGGGCCUGUGGAGUUGCCGCGGUACCGUACUAUUCCUCAUUGCAAAAUCUUUAUGACACUUAAGAAAAAAAUCACCAGCCUGGGCAACCUGGGGAGGCCCCGUCUCUACAAAAAAAUUAAAAAGUUAGCCGAGUGUGGUGGCGCGCGGCCGUGGUCCCAGCUACUCUGGAGGCUGAGGCCCAGGAGUUCGAGGCCGCAGUGAGCUAUGAACGUGCCACUGCACUCCAGCCUGGGCCACAGAGCAAGACCCCGUUUCAAAUAAAAUAAAAGAAGUUACCGAAAUACAGAUGUGCAAUUUUUAUUCCUUAGCCUAGUCUCAUCUCUGCUGCAUGUGACUGUUGUUCACAUAUUAAUUCCACCACAAUUUAAGUUCCUCCUGUGUGCCAGGGAAGCGCCCUUAACAGAAGCUGGGGAAACAACCAGGAACAAGACAGAUGCUGUGCCUGCCCUCAUGGGGAUUACUUUCUAGUUGAGAAAGGAGAUACUAAAUGGAGAAGGAAAAUAAGCUGCUGAGAAAUUAAAGGAAGACAGGUGACCUUUUGAUUUGAGAUGUCAAGAAAGUGCCCUCUGAAGAGGUUCGGUAAACUGAGAAGAAGCCAGCUCUGGAGAUACAAGGAAAGAACAGCCAACAGAAGGAUCUACAUGUGAGCAAGCAACAAGGAAGGAGCAGAAUGUGGUGCCUUGAAGAAAAGGAGAAAGUGGGUCAUGGGAAGCACGGAGGAUGAGAUCAACGAGGCCAGGAGAGUCCCCACCAUGCACACUCUCUGGGACCCUGUGAGGGAUACGGAGUUUAUUCCCAGUGUAAUGGGAAACUAGUGAAGAGUUUUCAACACGUGAGUGACAGGAUCUCGUUUCGUAACAUCAUCACCCUGCUUGCUGCUGUGUAUACAUGGAACUUUUGAGAAACAAUUUAAAAGGAUGCAGAGAGAAGAGUUGCUUUUGCAAUGACCAGGUUCUCUUCCCUGCUGAGUGGUGAAGAAGGCACCUGCUUCCUCUUGCACCGUGAUUGUUAAGUUUCCUGAGGCCUCCCCAGCCUUGCAGAACUGAGCAUGAAAAUACCCCAUCCAGCAGAUGAAGCACAUUCUCAUGCUCAUCCUGCAGAAUUUCUGGGUGACUGGUGGCAUCUCCUGCGGUGAUACGAGGAUGCGGGCUGAUGGAGAGGACAGCGAUACAUCUCAGCAGCUUGACACAUCACUGCCUCCUUCCCUCUCCCACAUCCCUGGAAAAGCUUAAAAGUCUGCAGAUUACCAGAUGGGACCCCAGGUUAAAUUCCUGCAUACUCCCUGGGUGUGUAUAGCUGCACCAUUUGGUGCAAGAAUGACUCUAGCAAAGUAGUCUCAGUGAGGUUUCUUGUGCCAAGCCCUAUUUUACUACUGUUGCCAGAAAAGUAAUGUGAUGACUGACUUCAUAAAGAGGCAUUGAGAUUAGAGUCGGGGCUACUUAUAUGUUCUUUGUCCUGAACUUUUUUUUUUAAUUAUUUUUUUAUUUUUUUUUGAGACGGAGUCUUGCUCUGUCACCCA